UCCCGCUAACUAUUUCAUCACUUUCACCCUCCCGCUUCUCCCAAAAUAUCUCAAAUCCUAAAAAUCUCACACUUUCCCUUUGCCCGCUUCUCUCAAAAUCGAUUCAAAAUCCACAUCUUUCACUUUGUGUCUUUGGCUACUGAUAUAUCUCUUUAGGUCUGCUUUGAUUCAAGCUGUUCGCCAUCUCAAUUUCUAGGUUUUCAAGAUGACCAUAUUGGGUCAGCCUCACAGAAGACGGUUCGAUUUUUGCCGGAUUCAAACCUGAUCUCAUGUUGGUCACUUUGUAUUGAUAGGGUUUGGAUCGAAUUGAUUUAGUCUCGCAGAUAAUGUUAUCGAUUAUUUGAUAGAUUGAUGGUAAACAGGGCUUUCCAGUUCAACCUAUGGUUUGAGUUGGCGGAAUAGAUUAUUGGAUUGACGGUGACGAAUGCGAACGGAUUGGCUUCUAGCGGUUUCGAUUCGAAGUUCGCUUAUACUGCAGGGUGUGUUGUGCUGCUGUCUGAUGUUGAUUUAGGGACUCAAUCUCACUUUGUGGUUUCAAGAUGGAAGCUACAUUGCAGCUGGUGACUAGACAGCCUUCUGAAUCACAACCUUCUUCUGGUUCUUUCACCAAUACAACUGCAAAUGGGCCAUGCAUUGUCACAUUUACAGGACAAGAUGCUAAUGCUCCUUGUUCACGUCCACGUGUCAAUGAGCGUAUUGUGUUUAUCUAUACCAAAGUGGAGCGUGUUCAGUCCCACGAAGUGGAGCGUGUUCAAUCAAACAUUGGACAUGAAUUCACCCUGAUCAUAUGUGUCUGGACUUUGUUAGGUGUACGUGAUUGGUAAACAUUGUGGAGCAAUGGCUGGCUACACGUUUUCACUUUGUGCGCCCAGAGAAAGUUGGAGUUAUAACACUUAAGAGUUCCAUUUGUGCUUCUUGGUUUUUUCAAGAGUCAUCAAACCCUCACUGAAGAUUUUUGUAUCUGAAUAUGGCAGGUACUCAUUUUUAUAUUGUAAUAACUAAUAUGUACACACUAAAGUUAUAUAUUUUUUAUAAUUCUAUAUUCAAUGCAUGUUAAAAGCAAAUGUUCAUAACAAGUGAACUGUUAUGUGUAUUAUUUAUUCGUUAUACCUGGAUUUCAACAUAUGAUGAAGGUUGUAAGGCAUCAUCAAUAAAUAUGUGGACUUCAUCUUUUAUUUAGAACUAAUAAGUCAAUGCAGACCCUUCAGAGUAGGGAUAGUGUAUGGAUAAGCUCGGUAUCAACCAGUACCGAAAAUCCUCAAAAAUGGGUACCGGCACCAUACCAAACUGUUACUGAAAACGCUAAAGUUCGGUACUGAUACAGUAACGAAAAUAUUUUGGUUUGGGAAAUUCCAUACCGGUAUGGUUUGGGAAAUUCCGUACCGGUAUCAAUACCCAGUACCCAUACGAUUUGCUCAUCCUACUUCAGAGAAAAGGUCAUAUAUAUUAUGAUCUCUCUUUCCAUAUUUCUUUUUAUCUUUAGAACCUUGAUUUUAAAAAUGGGUGCUUUUGCUGGUUGAGCAACACACUAAAAACAUGCACACUUUUGGUCCAUUUUAUGUAUAUAAUUAGUGCAACAAAUACACUUCUAAAAACUCUAUUAGUUUAAUUAAUUGGUCCAUCUUAGAGAUGUUUGCAGCUAUGGCUCAUGUUUGAUAUGUUUUGUUUGAAUUUAUCAAGCAUAUGAUCAAGACUACAAGAGCCCUUCAUUACAGGAGAAUUAGAAGUAACUUUUUAGAAUAUGCACUAUGCAUCUUUACAUAACCUUAAUGUUGUAUGAUUAUAAUUUAGGAUCAAACAUCGGUCCACAGUAAGCGUUCUUAUCGGAGUGCUUGCUCAUGCUCUCAAGGUAAAGUAUCUCCAAACAAUAAAAUACCGGUACCGAAAAUCCCCAAAAAUGGGUACCGCUAUCGUUACCGAACAUACCCGGUACGGUUCGGUGCCGGUACCGUACGGUAUUUGAGGGUAAAAACCGCUAAAUACUGGUACCGAAAACUGUCAAAAGUCUGUACCGAAUUGGUACCAAAAAUGUACUCGGUUUGGUAAAUUCGGUACAGGUUUCGUACCGGUACCCAUUUGCUCAUCCAUGAUUUUCAUGAAGGACCAUCAUGGUGGGAUCUGUAUCAUGUCAAGCCUUCCAUCACUUACCUAAAGGGCUCAUGUUCUAUCCUGCCAUGCCUUCUAUUUCUGAAUACAUGCUGUCUUAAUGGUGAAGCAUAAUUAUCACUUGAGAAAUGGGUUAAAUGUUAUAUAGUUCCAUCAUGAUUUACUUGAUCUUGCAAGGCCUCUCUACAUAUUUGCUGGUAUUGUUCAAAAAACUGUGUUUUGUUGGAUCCAGGGUACGAUUGUGCGAACCAACGACACACAUUUGGUUUAUGCUCGACUUUAUUUUAGACAUGCGAUUUCGUUUUCCAAAUGAUAUAUGGAACGGCAUAACAAGCGUCCCAAAGGAGGAUCACAUCUUAGUGAUGUUAUUGUCACAGGUUGGGAAAGGAGUGGAGGAGUACUCGGCUACGGAUAUGGAUGGCAUUCGCGAAGAUUGGUCGACUUAUGCGGUUACCUCUAUUUUUAAGUGACAAAUUGUAUUUUAGGUGUUCACGAUAUAUUGACCAACAAUUUUUUUUGUUAACGUUAAAAUAUUUGUAGUAUACUAGACAAAUGAUUAUGUAAUGGAUUGUUUUGGUAUA